AGAAGUUUUCGGAUGGAUUUUGGGGUACCCUUUUGGGGGACGGGUGAGUAACACGUGAGCAACCUGCCUUUGAGAGGGGAAUAACGGCUGGAAACGGUCGCUAAUACCGCAUAACGUACGGAUGGGACAUCCUGUCUGUACCAAAGAUUUAUCGCUCGAAGAUGGGCUCGCGUCCGAUUAGGUAGUUGGUGAGGUAACGGCCCACCAAGCCGACGAUCGGUAGCCGGACUGAGAGGUUGAACGGCCACAUUGGGACUGAGACACGGCCCAGACUCCUACGGGAGGCAGCAGUGGGGGAUAUUGCACAAUGGGGGAAACCCUGAUGCAGCGACGCCGCGUGUGGGAAGACGGUCUUCUGGAUUGUAAACCACUGUCCCCAGGGACGAAAAUGACGGUACCUGGGGAGGAAGCUCCGGCUAACUACGUGCCAGCAGCCGCGGUAAUACGUAGGGAGCAAGCGUUGUCCGGAAUUACUGGGUGUAAAGGGAGCGUAGGCGGGGAUGCAAGUUGGGUGUCAAAACUACCGGCUCAACCGAUAGUCGCACUCAAAACUGCAGCUCUUGAGUGAGGUAGAGGCAGGCGGAAUUCCUAGUGUAGCGGUGAAAUGCGUAGAUAUUAGGAGGAACACCAGUGGCGAAGGCGGCCUGCUGGGCUUUUACUGACGCUGAGGCUCGAAAGUGUGGGGAGCAAACAGGAUUAGAUACCCUGGUAGUCCACACCGUAAACGAUGAUUACUAGGUGUGGGGGGUCUGAC
rnacentral:rRNA from 1 species